UUUUUUAGGCCCCCGGCUGACAAACAGCUAGCAGGAGUUUGGACCACCUCAGGGACCGUCUGUUGAGGACACCUUCAUACCUGUCCAUCACUUGGCUGUAGGACUCCACAUGGUGACGCCUCUCGAAGCCGUACGUGUCUGUGCUGCUGAGGCAACGUCCAUUGGUUAUUACACAUUGUAAAGAAGAAAAGGGUCAGCUUUCCUCCUCUGUCCACUCUUCUUUCUUUUUCUCAUCCCUUGAUGACAAGCACUGCCUCCUCCUGGCUUGUGUUUCUCUGGCUGGGAGAUCAAAUGCCCUGACUGGUUGCACUGCACAGCAGAGGCUAUUCCAUAUGCGCUCCUAUCAAGCCAGGUCACGGCCCGUGUUCUGCCCGUGCUGUGUCAGCGUCCGACUCGUAGCGCAGUGUGGAUGCAGGAGAGCGAGAAUCCAACAGGGGGAGCCAGAGAGGACUCCGGCGAAGUGGCA